rnacentral:lncRNA from 1 species
AUAAUUAGACAACAAAGAAUGGUCCAAAGAGGACAAGAAUGAUGAUUAAGAAUUGAUUGCUCUUGCCCAUAUAAAAGUACAAAAAGUAGUUAUUAUCAAAGCAUGCUACUGCAAUGUUUGACCAUUGUUCGACUUGUUCUCAACAUAUUUGCGUAGGCAUGUAAACAAGCAAUGUCUUCUUGCCUUGAUCACAUAGGGGGAGAC